rnacentral:ncRNA from 1 species
UUAUUGGAGAGUUUGAUCCUGGCUCAGGACGAACGCUGGCGGCGUGCCUAAUACAUGCAAGUCGAGCGAAUCUGAGGGAGCUUGCUCCCGAAGAUUAGCGGCGGACGGGUGAGUAACACGUGGGUAACCUGCCUGUAAGAUUGGGAUAACUCCGGGAAACCGAAGCUAAUACCGGAUAAUAUUUCGAACCGCAUGGUUCGAAAUUGAAAGGUGGCUUUUGCUACCACUUACAGAUGGACCCGCGGCGCAUUAGCUAGUUGGUGAGGUAACGGCUCACCAAGGCGACGAUGCGUAGCCGACCUGAGAGGGUGAUCGGCCACACUGGGACUGAGACACGGCCCAGACUCCUACGGGAGGCAGCAGUAGGGAAUCUUCCGCAAUGGACGAAAGUCUGACGGAGCAACGCCGCGUGAGCGAAGAAGGCCUUCGGGUCGUAAAGCUCUGUUGUUAGGGAAGAACAAGUACCGUUCGAAUAGGGCGGUACCUUGACGGUACCUAACCAGAAAGCCACGGCUAACUACGUGCCAGCAGCCGCGGUAAUACGUAGGUGGCAAGCGUUGUCCGGAAUUAUUGGGCGUAAAGCGCGCGCAGGCGGUUUCUUAAGUCUGAUGUGAAAGCCCACGGCUCAACCGUGGAGGGUCAUUGGAAACUGGGGAACUU